rnacentral:lncRNA from 1 species
UGCGCUAAUCACUAGAGCACCCCUCCCCCAGCCAGGAAGAGAGAGANGUCCAUUUCAGUCCGGCCCAGGAGCUCACUCCUGUCCCCAAGAGGGGCUGCCAUCAGCCGAGAGCAUCUACAGGGCAGCCCUUUGUACGUACAGGGGGAGCCGGGAGACAUGGCCCAGUCACACAGAUCAACAGUGAUGUGACUCCUGUCGAUGGACCAUUGUUUCUCUCACAAGGACACCCCAGGCACAGACAUCUUCCCUGGCCAAGGCAGAUUCUUCAUCGUCCGUGCAGAGCCAGGCUGCUACUUGCAGACAGAGCAUCCAAUAAGGAAAGGGGCCAGGAGGAAGUGGCUCCCCUUGGGAGGUUAUUCCACAGUUGUCCACUAGGGAGUGCCACUCUCAAAGGCCAGGCUUGAUGGGCCCGCAGAUGCAGGGCAAGCCUGGCAGAAUCUGGGCCAGUUGCCUCCCAGUUGCAUUCCAGCUCUGCAUGACUCACUUCCAGAGCCAGGGAGAGACCCCAGACAGUCCCCCCCUUCCCCCCCAUUUCAUAGCAGGUGGAAAAAUCCAGGAGUCCUGGUCCCAAAGCCCCCCCACAAACACACACACUUUCC